GCGCUCGUGGUGUAAUUGGUAGCACGCGCCUCGCUCGAAGCCGGUGGUGUUGACGCCGAAUCCUUCGAGGAAUCUUCUAUAACGGCCCUUAGUGCAGGAAACCUCAGUUGAGGUCUCAGUCCCGGUUCGAAUCCGGGCGAGCGCA